rnacentral:lncRNA from 1 species
GGGCCGUCUGAGGAACAGCAGCCACAAGGCCUCUGACUAUGGCAUCACAGAUGUCUCAGGGAUUCCAUAAGAUGACAAUGAUUUUCACCAAGGGCCAUGAGGCCGUCCUCAGUUAUCAGGUGUGCGAUGAUGAGCAAUCUGCAGGGAAGCUGCCCACAGAGAACUCACAGUCUAGUGAGGGAGAUAAAUGCUCUCUCCCAGGAAACAUCCCCUAUGCUACUUUGUAAUGACAGAAGGAGUGAGAGUUUGACCCCUGGCAAAGAUAAAAUAGUGGUGGCAUGCCACUGGGCCACAGUCGGAAACUGAAAAUAGGACAAGCGGAGAAGAUGGCAAUAGGUCAUGGAGACCUUGGCUAAAGCGUCAAGGCCCUUUCCAGCAACCUCCCCACAGCCCUACUGGAGGAGUUGCUGGACUUCUCCCAACAGGGGAAACACCUAGUGAGGCCUUGUGAUGACUGACUAGGAGCAUUGACUGCACCUGCACCCAAGACCAUGAUCU